GACAGAGGGUGCGAGCGUUGUCCGGAUUUAUUGGGCGUAAAACGUCUGUAGUCGGUUUAUUAAGUCUGUGGUUAAAGAGUUCAGCUCAACUGAAUAGUGCCAUAGAUACUGAUGAACUAGAGUGUGUCAGGGGUUAGUGGAAUUCCCAGUGUAGCGGUGAAAUGCGUAGAUAUUGGGAGGAACUCCGGUGGCGAAGGCGACUAACUGGGGCACAACUGACGAUGAGAGACGAAAGCGUGGGUAGCAAAAAGG
rnacentral:rRNA from 1 species